rnacentral:rRNA from 1 species
UACGUAGGGGGCGAGCGUUGUCCGGAUUUACUGGGUGUAAAGGGAGCGUAGACGGCUGCGCAAGUCUGAAGUGAAAGCCCGCGGCUCAACCGCGGAACGGCUUUGGAAACUGAGCGGCUGGAGUGCUGGAGGGGCAGGCGGAAUUCCUGGUGUAGCGGUGAAAUGCGUAGAGAUCAGGAGGAACACCGGUGGCGAAGGCGGCCUGCUGGACAGUGACUGACGUUGAGGCUCGAAAGCGUGGGGAGCAAACAGG